rnacentral:rRNA from 1 species
GAUGAACGCUAGCUACAGGCUUAACACAUGCAAGUCGAGGGGAAACGCCAUCGAAAGCUUGCUUUUGAUGGGCGUCGACCGGCGCACGGGUGAGUAACGCGUAUCCAACCUGCCCAUCACUUGGGAAUAACCUUGCGAAAGUAAGACUAAUACCCAAUGACAUCCCACGAAGACAUCUGAAUGGGAUUAAAGAUUUAUCGGUGAUGGAUGGGGAUGCGUCUGAUUAGCUUGUUGGCGGGGUAACGGCCCACCAAGGCAACGAUCAGUAGGGGUUCUGAGAGGAAGGUCCCCCACAUUGGAACUGAGACACGGUCCAAACUCCUACGGGAGGCAGCAGUGAGGAAUAUUGGUCAAUGGGCGAGAGCCUGAACCAGCCAAGUAGCGUGCAGGAGGACGGCCCUAUGGGUUGUAAACUGCUUUUAUAAGGGAAUAAAGUGGGUCUCGUGAGACUUUUUGCAUGUACCUUAUGAAUAAGAACCGGCUAAUUCCGUG